rnacentral:rRNA from 1 species
ACAGGUGCUGCAUGGCUGUCGUCAGCUCGUGUCGUGAGAUGUUCGGUUAAGUCCGCUAACGAGCGCAACCCUCACUGUGUGUUAUAUGUGUCACACGGGACUGCCGGUUUUAAGCCGGAGGAAGGUGGGAUGACGUCAAGUCAGCAUGGCCCUUAUAUCCUGGGCUACACACACGCUACAAUGGUCGGUACAAUAGGUUGCCAAGCCGCGAGGCGGAGCCAAUCCACAAAGCCGGCCUCAGUUCAGAUUGUAGGCUGCAACUCGCCUGCAUGAAGAUGGAGUUGCUAGUAACCGCAGGUCAGCAAUACUGCGGUGAAUACGUUCCCGGGUCUU